AGUGUGAUAGUCCUGUAGUAGCCUGUGUCUAAUAAAGCAACUAGAAGACAGAAGAAGGCUGUAAACCCAGGAAUUGGAGGGCUGAUAUCCUCAAUUUAAGUUGAGUGCUCAUGAACUGGUCUGACUGAAAACACGCUGAGGAAGACCAGAAUUUCUUAUCUAGAUCACCUCUUCCAGCUGGAUGAUGCGUCUGUCUGUCUGUCUGUCUCAUUUCUCUUACUAUCUAACACCGAGAAGCAAAUACAGAAGAGAGGAAAAAUGCAGUAUGUUAUCCCAUGUACAACACAGGCACAACACAGCAGAGCUGACACUAGGAAUGGAAACUUUAAGAUCCCAGAUAUUAGAAUAGGUUUCUGUGGGAUCCAGAGGUGGAAGACAGACACCUCUGCUCACUUGAAUACAAUAGAAGGAGAGCCACACAUGAAGAGUCUCUCUGAUUGCAGCUAAUCCCCCGCCCCUCCGGAUUACCUGAGAAAUGAGAAUAAAUUACUUCACUUCAGAAAGAAAAGAAAAAAGAAAACCUCAUCAGGGCUUCAAGUCACAUUAAUUUUAAAAUAUGUUGUGAGAAAAGAUGUAGUUAGUGAUAAAUUGACUAUGUGGGUGGAUUUUACUCUAAAUCCACUCUGAAAGGAUUUCUAUAUGAUUUAUUAACAUAGCAAAUAUUUUAAAAUGGUAAUGUAUGGCCUGACUGUACAUGCAAUUGAAACAAAUCAUUAUAAAUUCUAA